AGAGGACAUUUGGACCUUCCUCUGUGGGUACCUGCAGUCUGUAAUGACUCUGUUGUUCUGCCGUUAGAGCAGAGGAAUUACCGUCUGUUCCUGCUGAUAACGGAGCAGCUGCUGCAGUAACCGGUCACUUCAGCCUCAGUCUGUCCGCUCACCAUGCCUCACAGCCGGACUCUCAGAGUGGACACCGACCGGGUCACCAGCGUCCUGUACGUGGUCGGCUCGGAGCUUAACGUCAACCUGAACAGGUAGACUGUUGACCGACACACACACACACACACACACACACACACACACACACACACACACACACACACACACACACACACACACACACACACACAGAGAGUUAGUGAGAGGACUGUUUUCUGCAGCUUUGUUGGAGAUUUCAUCUGUUUUAAAAACAGUUUGUCAGUAAAUAUUUUAUUUUUUGAUAUUUAAUUCAAUUAAAUUCUAAUUUCAUUGUCCAGCAGCAUUCAGCUAACUUGAUAUACCCUUUGUGUAAUGUUAUAUUAUCAUGUUAUUCUUAUAAAGUGACUAAAACAAACCAGACAGUUAGAACUGUCAGCUUAACAGAUGAAGUUUAUUCCCCGAUUCUCUAUUUUUAAUUUAAUGAUAAUCAUAAAGGUUGUUAAUAAUACAGUAUAAACACACCAAAUUCAUGUCUUUUGUUUAAUAUGAGGUUUUCAAAGGUUUUCCACUGUGUAGGUCACGAACUGUCUCACACUUGAAUCAUGAAUCACACCUGAAUCAUUGAGAACCCCUGCCCUGAGUGUAAAUAUACCUUAUCCUGUGAAAAACAGCUUUUUUCCCUACUGUUUACUGACUAAGAACAUGAGGCGCAGCAACACACAAAAAAUGACAAUAAAGACCUUAAACUGUUAAAGCUGAAACUCUAUGUUUUUAACAAUGGGACCAAUUGUUGGACCUCUAAAACUCAGAACCUGGUCUCCUGCCAAAGUGUUGAUGGAGUCUGGUUUCCAGAAAAGGUUGGCCCACCCAAAAUGAGAGUAAACAUGUCUUUGUCUCAACAGUUUUGAAAACCUGUCGCUGGAUUAACAUCUUUUAAUAAACUAAUUUUCAGUUACAUUAAAGCUGAAAUUAUUACCAAAACAUCAAAUUCAUCUUCAACAACAUUUUACAGUGGUUCCCAUCCUUUUUGAAUUGGGGUUGCAUAACUCAAACAAUUGUUCACUACCAAAAUUCACUGGUAUAGAAAAUUGUUCACUUGUAUAAAAUCAAUGAAAGGUUUUUGGAAUUGCACCUAAAGUUUAGUUGAGUUAUACUGUAAGCAAUAACCUUAAUCUGUGGAUAAGCUGGAGGGUAACAAUGUCAUAACAACAGUUUUUGAACACUAACUUCAUGAUUCAGUCAGUCAUUGAACUUUUAUUUCCAACAACACUGAGUCAUAUUACAGAAGCAGCUAAAAAGGAGGCAAAGUAUUGAUAGAAGAAAAUACUGACUGAUUAAAAGUCUCAGAAAUCAGCAAAUAGUGAAAUUUCUUACUUGAAAGUAAUGAAAGUGAAAGUGGAUUAAAAACAAGAUAAAUAAGAUAGGGCAAAAAUUAUAUACUAACUGAAGUUUAAGGCUAAAAUCAAAUGUUGAAAAUGUUGAAAUAGUAAAAGUGCAUUUAGGCCAAAAAGUUGCUGCAACUUUUUCCCAGGAGUCAGAGUUUGAAGUUUGGAUUCUGCUGUUUUGUACUUGGUGCCUAAUAAACUGGCACUGACUGUGUAAGAACUCUAUUGUAAACCCAUACGGGGAGCUGGGGGUGGAUGUCAUUAGUAUGCAUAAAGUGGCGAGGGCAGACUUCACGCCCUUUGUUUGGUACAGAAGCAACAGUCCUCUUUUGUUUCCGUCCAACUGGAGGCACGUUGUUCUCCCCCCAAAAAUCAGGCUGCACCAAAUAUUCACAUUUCAGCAAACUAGGACUUCAUAGAAAAAGUUUAACAAGCUUUUUCACGUGGCUUUGGACAACUUAAGGAUGGACAUUUCAGCAUUUCAAUCCGUUUUUUAAUGAUCUCAGGAAAUACUGUUUUUUUGGGGGGGAUUCACCGUUUCUGAUUUUCAUUUUGAAAUGAAGAAAAAAAACGUUAAACAAAUGUGGCCUGAAGUAUGCAAUUUUACUCCCUUUUUCACGUAAGUUACAAAAAGGGAACAUUUUCACCGUAAUCUAACCUGCCGAGAUACACCGGCCUACACUCACAUAUAGAACCAGAUUAUAUUAGACCCUCAAGGACUCUGAGGGGAUUUAAAGCUGUCCAAAAAUAAAGGGUCUGGUAUCAUUAGAAGUGGAACACAUCCCAGUGGACUUGUCAUGUAGAGGUAAACAGCUAUUCUUGACAUCUGUAAAUGGAGUGUCUAAAUCUGGUGUCAUAACACAGCAGCAAAAAAAGCUGACGCCUGGAAAACCUGAGAGCCAGUGGGAGCAGUUGACUCAGGAGUCCUGCGUAUGAGCGUAUGGGAAAGUUGUUGACUGGGACACAUGGCACAAAGUUUCAGAUACAGACAGUAUUAAAGGGAACGUCCUUAAAACUUACUUCUUCCCAGUCUCUGCUCCUAAUCAAUAAAAGUGUUGUUUGUUAAACUUUGAUGCAGCUGACUUUCUGAUAUGAAAUAUCUACGACUGUGUGUCACACACACACACCUGCUUCAGUAAUCAGGAGUAACCAUGCGUACACAUUUCCCGCUCUUGGUCUUUGCAGGAGUGCCCCACCCACCUCCAAGUUCUUCUCGGUGAAAUGCACCCCCAAGGUUCAGUACAGCAUCAGUCCGAUACCUCAGGAGACGUCCCACCUGUCCCCCCUCCCUCUCCAUGGAAACCAGCUGCUGCUCAUCAGCAUGAGUCAGGCCAGUGAACAUGAGAAUGAUUGCAAAGUAAGGAUGGAAAUACGAGCAUGUCUCAGUAAAUCUGUGAAAAUGUGUUAAAUAAGCAGAAUGAGGUGAAUUCUUCAGAAGAAUUUACACAAUAUAAUUCAAACUGAAGUGCAAACAUGUCAGAGUUUAUCGGAACUUUGAUAGAAUAGUUACUGGGUGUUGUGCAAUGAAAUCAAUCAGCUCAGUCAAAAAUGUAGAACUCCUUAACUACAGACUGGCUCUAAGAGAAAGAUUUCACUUGAUUUAACUAAAAUAACAAGUAUAUGUGUUUUUAACAUGUUUAACAAGUUGUUUUUGUUCAUCUCUGUUUUCAGCUCUCUGUCAGGUACUAUGGAGAGAAUAAACAGAUUCUGGGGGUGGCAAUCAUACACCUGACUGCUGUUGGUAAGUUUAUUUGCUUUCAAACGAAACUGAUGAAUUAAAAAAAAUAUAUAAUAAUAAUAAUAAUAAUAAUAAUAAUAAUAAUAAUAAUAAUAAUAAUAAUAAUAGUGAUGAUAUUUGCUUAAAUUUGGAGUUAUAACUUUCCUUUUUGCUGACGUGUGUUCAAAGUCAUGAGUCAUGAACACAAACCAGGCAGUGUUUGGAAAUCUAGAUGUACACAUGAACAGAAAUCAUGCCUUAGAAAUGUAGACAGACACUCGUUUGAAAAUGAAGGCUGUGAUUUGAACCUUCAAGUGUUAUCUUUAGUUCAUAUUGGCGCCCUGUGAUAAAUGUUUGUGUCACACAGAGAUCUCUCUGGAUGUGGACGCCGACAGAGACGGUGAAGUAGAAAGAAACAACCCGAACAAGGUGAGGUCCAGAGUGUCAGUGUGAGACGACCUUUACAUGUGCUCGGCUAUUUUUAUAAACAGAUAUUUCACCCUCUCUAUUUGCAAGAAAAAACAAAAAACUGCGUGCACACCCCUACGUUUUCAGAAAAGUUUGGGUUUACACUUACCCAUGUAUACAUGCCGUCAAGAGCGUGCCAAACUCACGUUAGCCAAUCAGAAUCAAUGAUGUGUUCGUCAGCAGAGAAAAAUGUGGCCUUUUUGAACGUCGAUUUAUACCUUCAGACUGAUGUCCUCACCUCCAUGCCAGCUGCUCUCCCUAAUGCUGGCCUUAAUUAACCAGAAAUGAGAAAUUAGAAAGUGGGUUUUAAAUUUCGGCGCUGUUGUGUGUGAAAGAUAGUUAGAGACGCCAAGACCCGCCUUACGUUGCCUCUGAUUGGUUCAUACUGCGUGGUGCCUUCUGUGGUUGGUUAGAUUUAGGCACAAAGGACUGAUGGAUCAGUCUGGGAUUGGUUAUCUCGGUCAGUCAAUCAGAAGUUUGUUAUUGUAAAAAAAAUCAAUACAGAUUAUUGAACGGGGAAAAAUAAGCGUGAGAAAUGUCAAGUGUGGCGUGUGAGAACAGGUCAAACUGUGUGACUGUCACACUCAAAGCGUGAUGCUGGGCGGCUCUGCUCCUAAUGUUGUUAAAUGUUUUUGUGUUUUGACUCUGGGGUCGGUGUCUUCAUUCUUGUGCAGGUUCAGGCGGUCUCAUUAACCCUUUCAUACUCUGUAAAACUGUUCAGGGCUCCUGGAAAUGGGGUCCAGACGGGCACGGAGCCAUCCUAUUGGUCAACUGUGACUCUGAGCGGAGGUUUUGGAAGAAACCAGACCUUGAGGAGGACUCAGUCUCCAAAGUUUCGGGUUAAGUCAAAGAAGUUAGGCUGAUACACCACCCAACGUGAAACCAGCUUCAUAAAGAACUAGAGUAUCUGAUUGAUUUUGGUGGAUCAUAUCUUUAAAACUGAGUCUGAUCUUUAAGUCGCCCUCACUCUUUGUCCUCACACAGAUCUGAAGGACAUGUCACUCAUGGUGCUGAGGACCAAAGGCCCCCCCACGCUCCCUCAGGGCUACAAGCUCACCAUGCACAUCUCUCAGAGCGACGCAGAGAGUGUCCGAGUCUUCAGGUCCAGUUCUCUGAAGGCUCCAAACAGCGUGUGUGAGUACAGACGGAUGAAGACGGUCUCAGGGGAGAUGAUAAUACAUUCAACUCUCAUUUUCUGCUGCUCCUCCUCCUCCAGUGGGGAAUCUCCUGUACAGCCUCUUCGUUAAGAGCUUUCCUCUGGUUCUGAGCGGGGAGGUUUUAUCCCAGGAGGUCCCUUACUCUGGAGGAGAUGCAGAGCUGAACUUUUACGUGGAGGGCCUCAGGUUUCCCGACAAAGACUUUGAUGGAUUUGUCAGCAUCAGCCUCAGUCUGUUGGAGCCCAUAGCUGAGGUAAGAUCAGCGUUGGUGAUGUCCUAUAAGGAAUCAGUCUUAUCCUCUGAACCCUCACAUUCACUCAGCAGACAGUUUUUCUUUCUGACAUCUCACCUGAGUCGGCACAGAUGUUUACUUCUAACGGUUUUUUCGUGUUGUUGUGUUGUUGACACUUUUUGUCCAUUUCUUUGUGUUUGUCUGUUUCAUUUCUUCACAAAGAGGGUGUGUAGCUGUCAGUACUUCAGUGUCCUUCUUGUGUCCACAGAGUGUUCCUGAUACUCCUAUUUUCACCGACAGAGUCGUGUUCAGAGUGGCUCCAUGGAUCAUGACUCCCAACACCCUCCAGCCCAUGGAGGUGUUUAUCUGCAGGUGAGAGCAGCACACUGAGGACGAGUACAACAGCUGAGAGGGGACAGACAUGUCCACAGAAUGAUGGUUUAAAGUCUCAAUACUUCACUUCCCUGUUUAAAGCUCAAAAUGAUGAAUCAUGAUUGCAGUAACAUCUGACUUCCUCCUUUGAAACUUCUCAGACUUUUUCUUUGUUAAUGAAAAUGAACCGGAGUUCUCUGAAACGGCUCCUGUUUGUGUUUCUCUCCAGGACGGAGGAUAACUACACGCUGCUGAAGGAGAUGAAAGACAUGGCUGUGAAGAGCGGCUGUCAGCUGAAGGUUUGCCCUCAGUUCGUGAACAGAGGAGAUCGAUGGAUGCAAGUGAGAAACCUGACGUGUUCAUUCAUUUUUAGACACCUGUAAUCUGACGUUUCCCUCUUCUUCAUCGCGUUACCGAGUCUGAGGUGUCGGAUUUUUAUGACCUUAUCUGAACUGUGAAGAGAAGUGAGAGAGACGGACUCAGAGAGCUCCUGUGUCAAGGUCAUUGGGGUCAUUCACAGCAUCCUUUGUACGAGUCCAGUCAUGACUGAUCUGAUAAUUUAGAGUACAGUAACAGUAACAGUAAAAGUGGUUCAUCGUUCUGAAUGACCACAUGAUGAAACAAAACAGGAAAUGAGACGAGUGAAAUCUUCACAGAAGAAGGAAGGAACUGCUUCUCUGGAAGUGGGCUAAUCAGUAGAGAUGACAGAGUUCACGUCGAGAAGAUAAGAUAAGAUCGUCCUGUAUUAGUCUCACAGGGGGAAGUUUUAAAUGACAGCAGCAAAAAAAUACAAAAGAGAAAUUCAAGAAUAAAGAAACGUAGAGUUUAAAAAAAGAAUGAAAGGAAAAAUAAUUCAAAUAAAAUCUCAUUUAAAAAAUACACUUUAGAAAUAAAACUCAUACUUGUGUGUUUUCAGGAUGAGCUGGAGUUUGGUUACGUGGACUCCCCUCAUCAGCAGUUUCCUGUUGUUCUGGAUUCGCCUCGAAACGGACCUCUGAAGGACUUUCCUUAUAAUCAGCUGCUGGUGAGAGACCUAAACCCUCAUCCUGGACCUGUUGAAGGACUCACACUCCAAUCUGACCAGAGUCUUGAUUUCCAGGACUCCUGAUCUGAGUUCAUCUUCAGCCCUAAAGUCUCUGACUUGUUCUCAGACUCAGAAGAUGCAGACUUCUUGUUUUCGCUGUUAUUUAAAUAUGAAGUUUGAUAAGCUCAAAGUUAAAGAGACACCUGACAACAACACGUGUCUCUUCAGUGUUUCCUCACUCAAACCUGACGCCAUGUUUUUGUAUUUUGUCCCAUAACCGCUCUCACGUCCUCAGGGCCCUGACUUCGGCUACGUUACAAGACCAGCCCACAGAGAAGAAGUGACCAGUCUGGACUCUUUCGGGAACCUGGAGGUCAGUCCUCCGGUCACCGUGAAUGGAAAGCACUAUCCCUUAGGCAGGAUCAUCAUCGGAGUGGCCUUUCCUACGUGAGUGUCUCAAAGAUCCAGAGAAGAGUCUCAGACUUUUGAGGAGGAUGAAUAAUCCAUGUUGGAGCGGCUCUUUAAACUCUGUCUCUUCUCAAAGGGCAGAGACGGGACGCAACAUGACCAAAGUAGUUCAGGACUUCCUGUGGGCCCAAAAGGUUCAGGAGCCGGUGGCUCUGUUUUCUGAUUGGCUGUUUGUGGGACAUGUUGAUGAGUUCAUGACCUUUGUUCCUGCACCUGACAGAAAGGUAAAUAGUCUCUUUAACCGCCAACAAAGAAAUUAAAAUCUAAAAGAAGUGGUUUCAGUUGAUUUAUGGCAGAUGUGACACGUGCACUUUUUUAAUGAAUAGAUUUAAAUGCAGCCCAGAGCGUCUGCACGGCAGUGUUAACUCUUUACACAGGCUUGGUGGGUUAGAUGAUGCAUCUCACCACCAAAGUUUGUGAGGGUAGGGGUCUGUCCUGCCCUGUGAAAAGUUAAUAAACAGAAGUUAAACCUAUAUUUACCUGAAAACAGACGACAAAGACGACAAAUUGAGUGUUGAAACGGAAAAAAAUUGGCUCAUUUGCUUUUGGUAAAGUAGGAACAGAUUCAGAGAUAUCUCUUCAAAUAAAGCCUGCCUCUUAUACAGGCCUGUGUCAUAUAAAGGCCUGGUACCCUCAGCUUUGAAAACAAAUACAAGUCCCUGUUUACAUCUGAGGAUGAAGCCACAUGAACUCAAACUGUACUUCUGUUCUCAGGGGUUUCGGCUGCUGCUCGCUAGCCCUGAUGCCGCCUACAAACUCUUCAGGAACUUACAGAAUGACGGACACGGACAGGCCACACUGUUGGAGGGUAGGGGUCCGUCCUGCUCUGUGAGAUCUUAAUAAACUGAAGUUAAACUUAUAUUUACCUGAAAAUAGACAACAAAGACGACAAGUGAAGUGUGGAGACGGAAAAGUCUCUGUGUUUGAUGAAAACCUGAUGAUUCGCUCAACUUGAACAUGUUUGAUUUGGGGGUUAAAUCUAGAUUUACAUUUCUAUCUCUCUUUGACUUCAAUAAGGUCGGCGAGAGGGCGAACCACUGACAGUGGAUCAGAUACUUGCUGAUGAGACUUUGCAAAAUGGGAACAUGUACGUGCAGGUGAGUGGGAUUCAAGUGUUAGACCGAGCCGAGUGAAUACACACUAUCAAUGUUAUCGAAUGAACGUGUUUGAGUCCCAGAUCGUUGUAAUUUAAUUCAUUAAAGGGAAACAGAGAAGAAUGUGACACCAGUCUCAGCCAAUCAGAACGCUUUGAAGAAGGGAUGAUGGAGAGUAAACUGGUGGUUAUGCUAAUUAGAAUACUGACAGGGUGAGCAGGACUCUGAAACAACAGGGACCAUAACAACCCGCUCACUUUACAUGUCUCACCUGUUACCUGGUAUAAACAAGUUGGCAUGAAAUGUUGAUUGAAAGAGGAUUUGAUUGGUUUAAAAAUUAAUGUCCUGGUUUAUGAUCUGAGCUUCAGUUAAAAAAAAACUGAGCCGUUGAGGCAGAUUUGAAAAAAGCAGCGAGGUGAUUGGAUGGAGAGGUGGCACAGGAAGUUGACAAAUAGGAGCUGUCCAGGAUGGAUGGCUCCUAUUGGUCAAUGUUUUUGCAGCCCUGCUCCUGAUAGGAUGAACAGAUUUUUUUCUGUUCUUUUUUCUCUUCACUUUGUGGAGAUCGCACUACAGGACCAUGGUCGCCAUAGAAACGAGGUUCAUAAUAAUUACUAAUCUCUACAAUCCUCAACCAUGCCUUUAAAACUGACCUUUAAAAAAAACUCAGAUGUCUUCCUUCAUCAAGAGAGGACAGAAAUGUGGAGAGAGAGAGAGAGAGAGAGAAAGAGAGAGAGAGAGAGAGAGAGAGAGGGAGAGGCAGAGACCAGGCCCUGCAGAGAUCGGGGUUUGCUCCUUCAUAAAACUCCUGCAGGAUUAUUUUCGUAGACGUUUUCUCAGCUCUCCUUCUCUGAGUUUUGCAGAUCUUUGUCGUAUCUCCGGCAGGCCGUCUUCUUCUGCACAGACCACAGAAGGUGCUGCUUUGUUGUCCUGCUGGUGUGAUGGACAGUGUCUGCCAUGUUUUUGUUUCCCAGAGCUGCAUCGACUGGAACAGAGACGUCCUGAAGAGAGAGCUGGGCCUGGAGGAGGCAGACAUCAUCGACCUGCCGAUUCUCUUCCAGGUCCAUUGGUCAGGACCGGAGGAGCCGCACAGAGCUUCAGCUUUCUACCCUGACAUGGUAUUUCCAGAGAUGGAACAGAGAUGUGAUCAUGUUAGCUCUCAUUCUUGGUCUCAUGUUUGUUAUCAUCUGUUUCUAGGUGAACAUGGUGGUCUUGGGGAAAAACCUCGCCAUCCCAAAGCCGUAUGGCCCCAAAGUGAACGGCCGCUGUGCCCUGGAGACCGAAGUGAGCUCCCUGCUGGAGGGUCUGGGUCUCAGCUGCACCUUCAUCGAUGACUUCGCCUCCUACCAUGAAAUGCUGGGAGAGCUGCACUGCGGCUCCAACGUCCUCAGGAAACCGUUUGACUUCAAGUGGUGGAACAUGGAGAUGUGAGGGGAACUGGAGAGGGGACAGAGAUGGUUUCUGAAGAUACUUGAUAGAAAAUAAAACAUGUUCAGUCUGUUAAAGUUAGAAAAGCUUUUUUUGGAUCAUGUUUAUCGAUGGUUUCCUUUUCGCUUGUUUCUGUUUCAGCCUGUGACGAGUGUUUAAUGAAAAUCGCUUUAACACGUGAUUAUAAGUCCAUGCGGUGAUUUCCACUUCAGAGUCAUGUCUGUUUUUGAUGUGGUGCCUCCUGAAGGCCUGAGAAUCACAGCCAUCCAGUAUCCAGGAUGUACUUUAGUGCAGAUUCUUCUCCAGCACAUUUCUUUUUAAUAUUGUUUGCUGUAAACUGAUGAAAUCCAACAUUUGAUCUGUUUCAUUGCAGUUUUAUUUUCAUUAAAUAUCGGCUCUAAACAAGCUGUGAAAUCAUCAAA